rnacentral:rRNA from 1 species
CCUACGGGAGGCAGCAGUGGGGAAUAUUGCACAAUGGGGAGAACCCUGAUGCAGCGACGCCGCGUGAGUGAAGAAGUAUUUCGGUGUGUAAAGCUCUAUCAGCAGGGAAGAAAAUGACGGUACCUUACUAAGAAGCCCCGGCUAACUACGUGCCAGCAGCCGCGGUAAUACGUAGGGGGCAAGCGUUAUCCGGAUUUACUGGGUGUAAAGGGAGCGUAGACGGUGCAGCAAGUCUGAUGUGAAAGGUCGGGGCCCAAACCCGGGACUGCAUUUGAAACUGUUUAACUGGAGUGCAGGAGAGGCAAGCGGAAUUCCUAGUGUAGCGGUGAAAUGCGUAGAUAUUAGGAGGAACACCAGUGGCGAAGGCGGCUUACUGGACUGUAACUGACGUUGAGGCUCGAAAGCGUGGGGAGCAAACAGGAUUAGAUACCCCAGUAGUC